AUUGCAUUUCAAUAUGUGUCUAGUUUUGUCGUGGGACUGGAGGUAUUACAUGCAGUCUUGAGGCGAGUGAUAGAGUGGUAGUUGUGGCAGCAGUCGGCAGGUGGCGGGUCAGUUAGUUUACUCUCACACAGUCAAAGGUGCAGGCGUGAUAAAGUGUUUCUUCCGGAAAACCACUUCUGAAACGAUGAAGUAUACUGCUAAGACAAAAAUGUAGAUAAAACAAGUUUUUGCAUAUUUAUUUACUUAAGUGCCUUAUAAACAGAAAGAAAGAAAAGAGCUGUUAGAGGAGAAACAUGGACUUCCAGUUAGUGCAAAACUGUAUGAUGGGGUGCAAUAGAUAAGACACCCCAAAGAAUCAUGAAAGUGUUAAAAGUAACUGAAAGAGCACAACAAACUUAUCCAUAGCUUGAAGGGAACUUGCUGUUCCUCAUACAGCAAAAUGUUACCGAGAGACUUCAGAGGUCUGUCUUGAAGAGGUCAGGAUGGAGUAUACUCGGUAUAUAGUGCAAGUGUUUGUUGGGGCCUUGUCACCUCACUUUGAAGCUCUCUCUAUAGAGGUCAGCAAGCAGACCUCAGCUCAAGAAAUUGUUUUUUGUAUUGUGGAGAGACUAGGACUUCCCAACCCACAGCACUAUGAGUUGGCUGAAGUUAUUGGCAAUGCACGGGGCCAGGAUUGCAAAGAGAGGAGGCUGGGUCCCAUGGAAAAUCCUGUGGCCUUGCAGAUGCUCUGGCCCCAAGCAUCCAUUACCGAAAAGACAGAAGAGACUGACUUACAUGAAUACAGAUUUUGCCUGAGAGAAAAGAGCUCCUCUGAUUCUUUGUGGGCAGAUCCUAACCAGCUGGAUUCACAGUUAAUUAAGGACUAUUUUUACAAAUUUUUAUAUCAACCUAAAGACAAAGAUUAUCCUGACCUGUGUCAGCUUCCAAACCUCACUGAGCAGACCUUGCUUGAGAACCUCCGAGCCAGAUUUCAAAGAGGAUACAUAUAUACCUAUGUGGGAUCCAUCCUCAUAUCGGUUAAUCCUUUUAAGUAUUAUCCAAUUUAUAAUCCUAAGUAUGUCAAGUUAUACCAAAAUCACAGACUGGGUGAACUUCCACCACACAUAUUUGCCAUAGCUGAUGCAGCAUAUCACUCAAUGCUGAAACAGAAAUGUAACCAGUGUAUAGUGAUAAGUGGAGAGAGUGGUAGUGGCAAAACAGAAGCCACACUCUUCCUGCUGCAUCACUUGACCAUGCUGAGCCAGAAGGGAUCUCAUGGCAGUGGGGUAGAGCAGACCAUCCUCAGCUCAGGGCCAGUCUUAGAGGCUUUUGGAAAUGCUAAAACUGCCCACAACAACAACUCGAGCAGAUUUGGAAAAUUUAUCCAAGUCAGCUACAAGGAAAAUGGUCUUGUGCAAGGGGCCUGUGUUCAAAAGUACCUGCUGGAGAAAUCAAGAAUAUGUUCCCAGGCACACAAUGAGAGAAGCUACCAUGUGUUCUACUACUUACUGGCUGGAUCUUCUCCACAGUUGCGCCAGGCUCUACAUCUUCUCAAGCCUUCAGAUUACCGCUACCUCAACCAAAGUAAAUGCUACACCAUUGAUGGUUUUGAUGAGCAAUUUGAAUUUGUAAGACUGAAGCAAUCUAUGGAGAUGGUUGGGUUCACUUCAGACAAACAACAUCGACUUUUUGCCAUUCUCUCUGCUGUUCUCCUCUUGGGUAACAUCGAAUUUCAGCCAAAGAAGUCUACUUACCAUCAUGAUGAGUCUGUUUUGGUUCAAAACCCUGAGUUGGUGGUCACAAUAUCUGGUCUGUUGGGAGUGUCUGAGGAAACGCUCAUGAAUGCCCUCACUUCCAAGAAAGCACGUGUUCAGGGGGAGACUCUAGUCAUGCACUAUCGUUUGCCUGAGGCUAUUGCAGCACGAGAUGCUCUGGCAAAGUGUUUGUAUGGGGCACUUUUUGACUGGAUUGUUCUCCAGGUGAACUACUCCUUAAUAUCUCUGAAAGAAUCUGCAAAUGAACACAAUGGAAACUCAAUUGGUGUUUUAGAUAUAUUUGGCUUUGAAGAUUUUGGUUUCUGUAAUAGGUUUGAACAGUUUUGCAUCAACUUUGCAAAUGAACAUCUACAGCACUACUUCAAUCAGCAUGUGUUUGAGUAUGAACAGGAAGAGUACCAAAGAGAAGGAAUAUCAUGGACUAAUAUUGAGUUUCAAGACAAUGUUGAGUGUCUUGCUCUGAUUGAAGGAAAGCCAGCCGGAUUGUUAUGCAUCUUGGAUGACCAGUGCAGUUUCCCAGCAGCUACCAAUGAAACCUUUCUACAGAAGAUCAACACUGUUCACAAAGAUAACAUGUACUAUGAAGUGCCUUACAAGAAAGAACUUGCCUUUAUUAUCAAACACUAUGCUGGGAAAGUAAAAUAUCAGACAAGUGACUUCAGGGAAAAGAACCUGGACCUGAUGCGUCCAGAAUUAAUCUGUGUGUUGAAGAACAGUCGCUUCAGCAUUGUGCGAGAGGUAGCUGGUGCUGAUCCUGUGGCUGUGUUUCGGUGGUCCAUCCUGAGAGCAUUCUUUCGUGCUGUUAGUGCCUUCCAUGCUGCAGCACAUAAGUAUGCUAAUAAGAAAGGGCAUGGAGAUCAAAGAAAAGUACCAAAACAGAAAAUAAGUAUUGAUAACUCCAGAAUUUUAGCAGCAAUUGAGAACACACAGAUGCGUCUCAGAAAGACUCGUCACAAUCGAUCACGGGCACGGUUACAUGGUCCUCGCCAUCAAAAGAACCUCAAGACUGUCAAGGCCCUUGUUCAGAAGACUCAGUCACUCACAUCACAGGGUCGGCUGCCAGGAUCCCGUAAACCUCCACACACAGUGACAGGCCAGUUCCAGCUUUCACUUCAAACACUUAUGGAAGCCCUGAACACUGCCAAUCCCUUUUUUAUUAGGUGUAUCAAAAGUAAUGCAAAUAAGGCACCAAACAUGUUUGAUGAUGAGAUGGUGAUGCGACAGCUGAGGUACACUGGCAUGUUGGAAACUGUGCGCAUCAGACAGGCUGGUUUCAAUGUGCGACUCUCUUAUGAAGAAUUCAUCCACCACUACAGGAUACUUCUGCCCAAGGCCUUGUUGAGCUCUCAAGCAGAUGUUAGGAUCUUUCUGGAAGAGAUGAAGUUAGUGGAGAGUGAAUACCAAAUGGGAAAGAGCAAGAUCUUUAUGAGAGAGUCUCAGAAGCAGAAACUUGAUACACAGCUCCACCAGACGAUCCUUUCUCGUAUCAUUGUCAUCCAGAGAUGGUACAGAACUAUUCAUCAGCGCAGACAUUUCUUGAACUUCAGAGCCAUGGUUGUCAAGAUUCAGUGUCAAGUUCGGUGUUGGCUUGCACAACAGAAACUGAAUAAGCUGCGCAUAAGACAUAAUGCUGCAACCUUCAUUCAGAAAAUGUGGAGAGGUCAUCGUGUGAGAAAGUGGUAUCAGAACUUCCACCGAGCACUUGUAGGCUUCCAGGCUUGUGCCAGGGGUAAACUCUUCCGCCAGAAGUUCCUGGUGAUGCAAGAAGAGUGGAAACAGAAAAAGAGCAAAGAUGAAGCAAAGAGUCCGGUUGUAGAAGAUAUACCUGCUACACCCAUCAGUAUAGUAGUACCAAAUACUAGUGUCACUACUGAGACAAGUGAGCCAGCUCAGCCCCCACCUAGAAGAAAAUCCAUCCAUCAGAAUGCACAAAACUACAAGCUUCAACGAAGACAGAGUGAACAAUUACUCAGUGAGAGGUCUCCAGAGCCUAGCACUCAACAUUUUGAAAGACGGCUUAGUGAGGCCAGCCUUCUUCAACAGCGAUCAUCUCAGCAGAUAACUAGUAAGCCAGAUGAAGAGGUGCAUCCUGCUGUAUCAGGCAAUAUGACCACUGAAGGGGAAAAGCUGACACACAAGCCCAAAUCAUUCAGACAUCGGCCAUACAUCAAGGUUCCAUUAAUGAGCCAAGAAGAAGUCACUUCAGCUUCAGCUGAAAAUUUGAGUUCAGGACAAAUAGACAGGCAACCAAGCUCAGGUGCUAAAGAGGACAUUAUUAAGCAGCAGCACAUCCAGCCUCCACAAAAUGAUCUUCAGAGCAAACACAAAAUCUCAAGACAGUUCAAGAAGCCAUUCAGAAAGAUCAUCAUGGGUAAACGAGAAGGAAGCUUGAGUGAGAGUGAAGAUAUGGUAUUUGAGUCUCAGCCUCAAACACCCACAAGUCCAAAAGACAACCUUCAAAGCCUCUCUGCACCCACUGGAACAGAAACCUCAUCCAUCAGUGUUGUAAGGGAGAAAAACACUGGUGACUCAAGCUCAAGCCCCCAUCAAAGAUCUUCACCAAGAGAAUCAACUACUAUGGAAGAUCAACCCAGAGCUAAGGAACCUCUGAAACCUUCUUCUAGUCUGCCAGAUGUUGUUCAAGGAUUUUCAAGUUUGGAACAAGGAACUGUGAACUCCAUGUCUCAGUCCUCAAUUGGUGAUGACACACUUGCUCUGAAGCAUAUAUUGGCUAAUUCACCUCAUUCACUGAAGCAAUCCACUCUCCUGAAGAAGGAACUUUGUACUGCCUGUGACAAAACAUUCUCAGGAUUUUUCAUCAAUUCUGGUUACAAGUGCUUAAAUUGUAAAAAAGUCUUCCAUGUACAUUGUGUAAAAGCUGCUCUUGUUGGUCCUUGCCAAGAUGUUCCAAGUGUUGGAAAAGAGAAUGCUAGUCCACAGAGCAAGAAGCCCCGACGUAUGGAGCAAGAGGAAAACUGGAACUUAACCAGAACUUCAGAGUUCAUUGACAAGUCUGAUGAGGUCAUUAAAGAUGCUUAUGAGUUAAGACGCUUGGAUGAAUACAUAAGAAGAAAGCUGUAUGAUCUGGAAGAAAAGGAAGGUUAUAAAACAGAAACUCGCACACAAAGCCUGGAUCGUACCUUCGCCAGAGAUACAGUUUCCAAAGAACCUGAAUCAAACCUUCGAUUAAGGGAUCGUAAAGACUCUCAAGUUGACCAGAUGUUUUGUCUUUCCUUAAGGGAAUUUAAGAAUAAUUUAGUCUCUACCUAUUCUGUAGCAUUUCAGAAAGACUCACCUGAUCUCAGUCUGAGGUAUAAGGACCUCAUUAAAAGCUUUGAACAGGUAAUGAACACAGUGUGUAAAGAAAAAAUGGGGAAUGAUACAUUUCCUGUCACAAUGGGAGUUAAUGCCUUCCGAGGAUUUUUGGAUGAGUUCAUCAGGGAAAAGAAGAAACCUGUUGAAGAAAAAUCAAGAAGGAAAAGACACAGGCGUAAAAAGAAGAAGGUUGAGGAAGUAGUCCAUGGGAACCAUGUAUUCACUCAGAGCACAGUCAACAUUCCUACUCAGUGUGAAUUAUGCAGUUCCUUCAUCUGGCUCUCUAUGAAAGUCCUCACUUGUCAGAAAUGUAAAGUUACUUGUCACUUAAAAUGUUACAAGAAGACAGACCCCAAGUGUUGCCAAGAUGGAUCGAAACCUGUUGUUGUGGGGACUGGAACAGCCCCUGCCAGGAGUCGGGUGUUUGGUGUGCCAUUAGAAGCACUGGUUCGCCCUGGAGAAAAAAUUCCUUCUGUAGUAGACCGCCUCAUUACCAGCAUUGAACUUUAUGGACUCUACACUGAAGGGCUGUAUCGCAAGUCAGGGGCCCAGACCAAGGUGCGAGCAGUUAAGGCACACAUGGAGAGGGACCCUGACAAUAUUGACUUCACCAACACACCUGUUCAUGUCUUAGCUACUAUCCUAAAGUUCUUUUUGCGGGAGUUACCUGAGCCACUCCUAACUUUUGAAUGCUAUGAUGCCCUCCUACAUGCUACUGAACUGCAAGAUGAGGAGGAUCAGCUACAGACAAUCUUCAGUAUCAUUAAGGGCAUCCCUAAGCUUAACUUUGACCUACUAGAGAGGCUGGUUUUCCACAUGGUACGAGUAGCCCAGCACGAAGAACACAACCGUAUGAGUGCCAAUGCCUUAGCCAUUGUGUUUGCUCCAUGCAUACUUCGCAGCCAGAGGUCACAGACUGUCCAAGAUUCUCUCAACGAUAUUGCCAAACAGACAAUGGUUAUGGAAGUAAUAGUAGCACAGCAACUGAGACGGGUGCAAAUAACUCUUCAAGACAUAGACUCUGUGGAUAGUGAAACUGCUACUGCUGGAGAACGCCUGGAUUGCAUUCGUUCAUCAAAGCCGCUGGUAUACGGCAGAUGUGUCUCUCAGACAGAGGGGGCAACAGCCUCCAUUCUGUCACAUGAUUCAUCAGUUGCUAGCAUGCUGAGUGGAUUUGUUGAUCCAAGUGAAGAAGAUUUGCAGGAAAGGUUGGAGCAUCUUCGUGACACCAGAAUUCGCUUGGAACUCCAGCUACCAACCCUGGCACGCGUGAGCUCAGAGGAAGAUCUUUUAUCAACUGAUAUGUCUCUAGCUGGGUCUAUGGAAGAUAUAUCUGGAAUGUCUGUCCCUUUAACAGCCUUACUUCAAGGGUGUGAAGAUUCAGAUACGCUUUUAUUGUCAGACAGCUGAGGAUAGAUGCAUAGCAUAGGCUGCCCAGCCUGUUUCCACCAUGACCUGCUGGAGUCCACUGGUUCCUCGACAACAUCACUCCCUGCAGGCAUCACAUAUGUGACAGGCAAACAGAAGGGAGGAGCAGUAUCUUGGAAAACAGAAAAGAGUGAUGAGGAUGGAAGUGUUACAUCAAGGCUCCACCAGGAUUACAGUGAUGAUGCAGUAAUGGUUUAGCAUCACUUCUCCCACACCCAACUUUGGCACAGGUACACCACUAAUUUACCAAUUUGAUUGGUUCCAGAGUCUUGUCAGGCUAACCAUACCAGCUAUGGUCUCAUAAUAAAAAUUAAUGAACAGACUUCUGAACCAUUACUUAUAAUAACUUAUAAACUCAGUCAAAUUGUGGAGUGUAAGUCUUCCAGCUGCAUCUGUUUUAUCUUGAUCAUUGUGUGUUCAUUGGAAAAUUAUAAUGUGUGAGUAUGUAUGAUGAUGUACAACAGCAGCUUUUUGUCCACUUUCAUCCACUUAACUACAUUUUCACACACACACACACAAAAAAAAAGAAAAUGAGAAAUAAAAUUUGUCACAGCAUAUGUACCAAGAAACUAUGCUCCAGUUCUUCAGGGUAUUUACUUUUCUGAGAAUAUGGAAUAUUGUUUGAUACUACUGCUACUAUUGACAUCUGCAUCUCUUCUAGAAACCAUAGUUAGGAUUAAAUGUAAGAAAUAAGCAAAAAAUUUUACAGUACUGAGGAAUGAAGAGCCAAGUUGUGGUGCAUAUACAAGUGAGCAUGUGCUGCACAUGGCAUCCAAGGACACCAAGAGGACCAAUAUGGCAAUCACAAUAAUUUCAAUCUCCAACUUGUAAUUUUGUUUAAACUGAAGGAUGUUGGAUUAUCAUUUGCCAAUAAAUUGGUGGUGUACAUAUAUUGCUAGACAUCAGUAUGGUUCUGUCUUUCCAAAUUUAGAAAUUUUCAUAUUAUCUUGAUUGCAAAUUUUUUUGUACCAAGUUUUUUAUAUACUGACCUUAAAACUGUGUUCAUUAACUAUUUGUUAAUCAGUCUCCUGAUAGAAUAUUUUAUUUUUUCUAAUCCUUAGAAGACACUGAAGUUUCCAGCAGUUGCAGAUUAGGCAUACGUUUCUUGACAAUCCAGAACUGCGAACAAGAUGUUGCUGUGUUCCUUUCUUACUCAACAGAUUCAGAUACAGAUACUUUAUUAAUGUAAGGUGAGUCACAAUGUCAGUGUGGUUUGUAAUAAUAGGAACUGCUCAUUACUUGUCUUCAAAGAUUAUAUUUUCAUUUGUGAUCUUACUGCAGAACAGACUGUAAGUAUUUUUAGGUUUGUACAAUGUUUUUAAUGACUAUACUUAUAUGUAUAUAUAAGCUUUAUGAAGGUUAACCACCCCCACUGCAGCAAAGGGGCCACGUUACUAAGAAGUGUGUAGAAGUGUAUUCAGACUUGUGACCGGUCCACUUGUGAUUGCAGCACUGUUCACUCAAGAAAUGAUGAGCAACCAUUUUAUUAUUUUUAUAUUUUAAAUAAUUAGUAAAAUUGCUUGUUAGCACUAUAAGCACUGUUGCUUGUCUCUAUCAGAAAAUUUUGUUGAUAAUUUUGUUUACUUUUAUGGAACUUGAUGCCAUUUCUUGCCAUUUUCAUUUUCAUUGAACAUUAUUUUAAUCUUUUAAUGAAUAUUAUAACCAUUCUUAUGCAUAAGUGUUCAAUCUUGUACUCCUAGUCAUCAUGCAUAAAUGUGUUUAAUCAGAUCCAGAUGUGAAAUCAUGUUCAUUCAUAAUUUAAAGAUUUCAGUUUCCAAAUCUAAUUUUGUACUCGAAUACAAACCCAAAAAAUAUGUAAUAUAGUGAAGGCUCUACAUAUCUGCCUCCAUUGUGAUUCUGGUAUGCCAGAGAUUUGAACUGUCAGUUUGAUACAUAAUUUAUCAGGCAAGCUUGGUUGUAAAAAACAUUUCUACUUGAAAGAAAAAAAAAUCUUUUUCAUGGCUUUGUUCUUUUCUCUUUACACUAGACAAUAUUCUAUUUAAAAAAUGUUUCUAUAAAAAGUUAAAGCAUUGUGAACAACCCAAACUUUCCCAUAAUUGCUAAUAGUAUCUCAUAAAAAAUGUGCAUGGAGGUUAUGAAGAUGCCAUGUUGUGCAGAACUACAUAAAUUUUUCCUUUUGAGAUGUCGCUACUGCUUUGUUGCUGUCACCUUUUAUUAUUGGUAUGGAGUGUAAUUUUUGUGGGCUCUUUGUGGACAUUGGUUAAGUUUAGGAGUGACACUUUACAUAUUAGCCAUGAUUGAUUACUUUUUAGCAUGAUCAAAGGCUGUGAUCAUAGCCACAUUGUACUGAUGGUUGGUGAGGCCUUGUUAACAAGUUUGUAUUGGGGAGACUCACCAUAAUAAUGUAGGAAGCAAACAUAUACAACAAUGCACAAAAGUCUGAAUAACGGUUGCUAUAAAAUGUAUUUGAUUUUUCAUAGUUUGACUAAGGUAAAGAAUUAUGGAACCCAAUUCAUCAUUAAUACAGUGCAGUUGUGGCUGCUACUGCUGGUUUUGCUCAGAGAUUAAAUCAUAAAGGACUGGGGCAGGGCUAUAGUCACUUUACCAGAUGAGGACUGGAGGUGGUUAUAACUGCUUUGUGAUUUUUAAGUAAAAAUUAGCUACUUUUUGUCAAUUUUUGUAGUUCAGUCAUUGUUCUUACUGUACAUGAGCUAGUUAAGCUAAUCUCUCAGUCUCUGCCCUGCUCUCACCAUGUCCAUUGAUAGUGAUCCUGAUGAGUCUGAUUCCCUUCUUGCUCCCCCCCACCCUUGCACCUCAGUGCUAUGCAUAUUACCUGCUUGCAUCUGGCCACUUGCUACAUAUCUCAAUGAGAGUGCAAUAAGGUGGGAAUUCAAUAAACUGUUAGCAUGUGUGAAGAGAGCUUAGGGCACUCAUUUUCAUUAGGCACUAACCAUAUCCAGUCAGGUGAAAUAGACGCAUGACAGGCAAGUGACUUGCUCCCUCCACAAGUUCCUUAUCUUCAACUUACUCUCUCCAUAACCACUGCACAUACAGACAUCUGGAUGGCAUUGUUAGAAAGAUGACGACUUUAUGUUGAGUACAAAGUCUAUUUAAUUUGCUCUUCAUUGCAAGCUAAGUUUACAGUGUAUGUGAAUACAGGCUAUUUUCAACGUUUAGCGGUGAAGGGCCUGUCCUAGUGGGGUGAAAAUCACCACCAUUGCUGGUCCUUUAAGGGUUAAUCUUAUUAAAGACAUUUUGUAUAUUGUCACUCAUGAAUUUGACUUCUGUCCACAAAGACUGUACAAAGAUGUCCUCUUACUGCAGCACAUCAGCAGCUUCUUCCAUAACAAAUAAACUCCUUCAUCUCAAGGAUGCUCUGCAGAUCUAGCAAGUUAUGUAUCACAUGCAUGGUGGAUGAUGCAUUCGACUUCCAACAUUUGGUUCCACUCAGAUUUCAGUCUUCUUACAUGAUAAACUAGAAUUCUUUACUCAGACCAACACAUAACAGAAAACAGGACUGAUGUUAAUGCACAAUAUUACUGUAAGAUUACUAUAUCCUGUUAUAGAUCUGUCAUAACCCAUUAUGAGAAUAAAUAAUGUAAAAUAUUGAAGAGGCAAAUUAUAAUUAAAAAGUUGAGUAAUCAUAAAAUAAAAAUAAAUUAAGUUAAAUAUGUAUAUCUGGAUUAUUGAAGAGGUUGAAUUAAAGACUGAGUAAGCACAAGUUGAAGUUAAAUGAAGUGUAAUGUUUUGUGAGAUGGCUUAGAUGAGUGUAUACUAUAUAGUCAUUGGAAAAUGAUGUGUCUGAUAUGCUAUCCUUGUAUACACCCAGCUUGUGCCAAGCUAUACUUCUUGCUAACCUAGGAACAUAGGGUAUACAAGUAAUAUUAAUUAAGUAAAGUUUAUAAAACUUACUGCAUUCCCUUGAAUCCACAAGUGCUUUUUUUUAAAAAUUAGGGAUGCAAAUAGAUCGUGCAACAUAGAAGCACAGGAGCUUCACAAAUUAGAUUGCCAUUUCAUAAUUAACAUUAACAACAUUUUGCAGUGUUUAAUGCUGCUUAUAUAUAAAUCACUUAAUUGUCCUAGGUCAUGGACUCAUUCCAUAAUCUACUGAAUGCAAAUAUUUCUUCACCUCCCUGUUUAGUCUAUGAGGGAGGGGAUUCAAAGUAGUGAAGUUCUGUCCUUCUAUGAAAUAUGAGUGUCUGUUAAUCUGGUUUGCAGAUCACUCUUGUGGCAGAUUAUUAGAAGUGUUAUGCUAGUGAAUGGUAUCAUAUACCUAUGUUGGCUUUUAAAACAAAAUUUUCACCUCAGUGGAAAUAAAACUAACAGCCAUCUAUAAUAGCAAGGGUAAAAUGCAACUCUACAGCAUGGUGAUGAACAUAAAAUAUAAAGUUUGUAACUUAAACCUUAUUCUGCUGCCCACUGAUUGAUGACCAACGUAUGUAAUCUUUAAUAUUUGGCUAUGUUGUAUAUUCCUAAGAAAAGUACAAUAUACACCUAUCCUAUAAACAAACACAAACAUACACUCUGACACUUAACCACAAACUAUAUAUAUAUAUAUAUAUAUAUAUAUAUAUAUAUAUAUAUAUAUAUAUAUAUAUAUAUAUAUAUAUAUAUAUAUAUAUAUAUAUAUAUAUAUAUAUAUAUAUAUAUAUAUAUAUAUAUAUAUAUAUAUAUAUAUAAUUUUCUGAAGUGAACAAACUCUUACCAAUCAUAAUUUAUGAGUUUCUGAUAAUUUUCAUAUGGCAAUACAGCUGAGAAAAUAUAAGGAGUAUUAUUACUCAUAAAUGGGGUAUGAUAUUUAUCAUUGGGACUGUUGAGUGUAGUUCGUAAUAUAAGACUGAUUACACUUUGACAUGCACAACUGAUUCUGGCUUUCCAGUCAGUAACUGUGCCCAGUUUCCAGGUUUCAGCAUCUAAACUUGUGUACUGAAAUAGAUGAUAGCAGCUCAGCAGUAGACAUUUUAUGAAACAGACAGGAGGAAAUCCUUUCAUCACAAGUUCAUUUAACUUCCACCUGAGGGAAAUAACAGUAUGAGAAAGCAUUUGAUUGUCUCUAGCCACAUUAAAAAUCAAACAAUCAACUACUAGUGACUGGAUUAACAGACUUUUACUAGCCUAUCUUUUAUCAGCUUGAGAGAGAGAGAGAGAGAGAGAGAGAGAGAGAGAGAGAGAGAGAGAGAGAGAGAGAGAGAGAGAGAGAGAGAGAGAAUCUGCUUUAGGAAUUUCCUUAGUUAUUUAUGGUACAUAUUGACUUCUUACCAUUUUGUUGACUUUAUUUAUUUACUUAUUUGUUUUAUUUGGCUAGUGCUAGUAACUAGCUUGAAAAUACCAGAUAGCUAAAUACCAGUUAUGAUAUGAGUUCUCUGCAUUACAGGGUUUGGCCACAGAUGGAAAAAAAAAUGGCAAUUAAUAUGAAAAGCUAGCAAAACAAAAAUUUUUUUUUAUGUAAAUACAUGUGCUGAUGUUCAUAUGGUGAUAUAUAUAAAUGUGAUGUGCAAGUACCUUCCAGUCUAAAAGAUUAAAUGAAACUAUAUGUUUUAAGUUUAAGAAAAGCAGUUCAUAAUUUGUACAUGCAUGUAUUUACAUUUUUAUUUAUUUUUAUCUUACAAAAUAAGUAAUUUGUUUAGAAAUGGAAAUAGCUCAUCCAGGGGGUAGCAUACAGAAAAACAGAGAAGAAACACAGUUUUUUUUUUUAUUCCAGUGUUAGCAAAGAUCUUCCUGUUAUCUCUAUGUUAACCCCUAGGCAAGUAUCACAAGACCUAUUGAACAGUGUAGUUGGAGCCUUGUUAACAAUGAUGUAUAAAAAAAGGAAUACUCAUGUCUACAUGUAUGUAAAGUCAGUCUACUAUAUAUAGAUUUAACUGAAAAGAUCCAAGCUGUUAACUAGGGUAAGAAAUAUGGUGGAACAUGUUCUGUACUUGGAUGGCUUAAAUGUUGAAAAGAAAGUAAUUAAAAUUAGCCUGCAAAGCCAAAGACUUUUUAUCAUAAUUUUGAUGUGUGAUCCACAUUCUUGCAUUGCUUACUGUGUAGAAUCCAUGAUAUGCUUUAAAUAUGGAAAUUUUGAAACUGCAUAAUACUAAACCUAUUGAAGUGAAGUUUUUGACCGCCAAUUUCUUAACUAUGUGAUAAAAUAUGAAAACUACAUGCAAUAAACUCAUGGAAAUAUCCAA